rnacentral:rRNA from 1 species
AUUGAACGCUGGCGGCAGGCCUAACACAUGCAAGUCGAACGAGUGGCGGACGGGUGGGUAAUGUCUGGGAAACUGCCCGAUGGAGGGGGAUCACUACUGGGAACUGUAGCUAAUUCCGCAUAGCCUAGUCUGUGCCCCGUUGGGAUUAGCUCGGAGUUGGGGUAAUGGCUCACCUAGGCGACGAUCCCUAGCGGGUCUGAGAGGAUGACCAGCCACACUGGAACUGAGACACUGUCCAGACUCCUACGGGAGGCAGAAGUGGGGAAUAUUGCACAAUGGGCGCAAGCCUGAUCCAGCCAUGCCGCGUGUAUGAAGAAGGUCUUCGGAUUGUAAAGUACUUUCAGUGAGGAGGCGUUACUCGCAGAAGAAGCACCGGCUAACUUCGUGCCAGCAGCCGCGGUAAUUC